CUGGCUCUGCUGUUCACUGCUUUGAUGUUGCCAGCUAUAAAAUCAGGGCUGUGGUGGCCAGGGUGGUGCAUUGCACAGAUGCCCUUGAACAGAACCCAGUGGGUAGAAAGUGUAGCUGCCCGCCCUGGGUGUCUGUGCUGAGGCUACAUUUCCCCAAGCUGCCCCAACCAGUGCCUAAGCGUGGUGGGGAUAUUGGUGCUGGCGCGUCCCCCUAGGACACAGGACCCCUCCAACGCACAACCUCUGCUUCAGGACGCCCAUCUAUCAGCCCAGCUACUUUUUUCCAGACCACUCUGCAGCUCUCUCCAUCCAGACAUUUCUUCCUGCUCCCCUUUCACAGGUAUCAGAACUGCACUGGGGUUUGAAGGUGCCGCCUGCAUGCUCUUGCUCCCCCUUCACGUUUCCCCCAAUACAUUUCUCGCACAUCUAAUCCUGUCGUGAUAUCUGAACUUACACACAGGCUUCUUGGGAAGAUCAGGUAAAAUAAGGUGUCAAAGGGCCUGGUACAGAGAGGCACUGGCACACGUCAGGUCCCUUUACCAUCUCUCACUUCUGUGCUCAUUCGUUUCCCUGCUUCUGUAGUACCCAAUCCCAGCACUCAGUGAUGCGAUGCCUAUAGUGUCUGAGAAUCUGUAUCACCAGUGUUCUGAAAGGAAAGAGCUGGCAUGAACUGGGUGAUUUGUGCAGAGUUUAAUAAGGGACCACUCACCAAAGUGUAGGAGGUAGGGAGGAUAACCAUGCUGGACAGUGCUGUAGCCCAAGGCUAGGAGCCCUGAGUCACCCUGGCUACCCCUGAGCCUAUAGGAGUGGGAAGGGAGAAAUCCCACAGGAGUGUGUGUGGACGGGGCCCUUGGCAGGAGCUGUCAUCUUCAGCUAAGGGAUACCCAACCUGAAGCGCUCUCAGAAGAAGGGAGCUGGGAAUAAAUACCCCAGCCCCACUCUCCUCUUUGCCAAUCACCUGCUGUGGGCUCUCUUUGGCUUUCAUUUAGGAAGUCUGAGGGCCAGGGCAUCUAUUGAUGUGGUUCAGAUGGGCCAGCUUCCAGCGCAGAAAGCAGGGUGCAGAAAGGCGGGGAGGGGGUCUGAAAGAGCCAAAGGAGGGGAUCAGCACAGCCCCCUGAGUGGCUCAGUACAAAUCGGACCCCACAUACCCUCCACUGGGUCAGAGUGCACUUCCUCUGCCCUGCUCACACCCUGCAUGCUGGUGACCCCUCCCGCUGUUUCUCUUCUCACUCCACACACUAUCUGUACGCAAGCUCGUCUAUCCCAAGGCUUUGAGCAUCACUCACUCGCUGACCACUCCCAAAUUUCUAUCUGAAACCAGGCCACUAAGCUCCAGACCUUGGCAUCCAGCUGCCAUCUUGGUAUCUGCUCUCCAGUGUCCCACAGGCCCCACAAACUCAAUGAACCCAGACAGAAACACAUUUUCGUUCCUUAAGUUUUUGCCCAUUUGCCCAGGCAAUGAAGCCAAAACGCUGAGCAUUAUCAACUCCCAAGUUCUUCAUCCCCUCCAUUCCCAGCCCACCUGUCACCUGGGCAUUUCAGUUUUUCUUUCUCCCCAGUGUUCUCUUCCUGCCCCCUCAUCCCUAGGACUAUUGCAGAACCACGGCUUCCUGUUUCAGUGUUCUCCUUCUCCAGGCCUUUCCGUGUGCUGCCACCAGAUUGAUUUGUCUUUUUUAAUCUGAUGCUUCUAAAAUGCCUCCUGGCCAAGUCACUCCACUGCCCAAAUCCCUCCACUGGUUUCCCUUUGCCUUCAGCAUAAAAUCUGUAUCUCUAAGAUUCAAGCCUCUGCUUCUUUCUCUGGCCUUCUCACUCACAGCUCUCCCUCCCCACUCCCAUGGCCUCUCCUGCCCUUCUGGCCAGGCUCCAAACUCCCUACAAUGCACUGCUCAGGUCUUUGACAUUCUACUCCCAUCCCUUGUAACACCCACCACUCUCCAGACCCUCCCAUCUCCCCCUGGCACAUUUUCAUUCAUCUUUCAACAAUCAGCUCAGGGCUCAACUCCUCCAGGAUGCCCUCCCUGACUGCAGUCUCCAUUCUAGGUUAGACUCCCCUUCCCGAGUCCCCAGUGCCUUUGAUCCCUAAACUUAGCACUUGGCACUCCAGUUGUUUGUUGACUGGUUUGUCUCUCCCACUAUCCUGGGUUCCUUGAGUUGCUGUGUCUACUUCUGCUGUGUCUACUUCUCACUGAGCAGCAGUGAGGUAAUGAAUGACACGAACUAACUGUCCCACAAGGCAGCCCAUCUCACCGUGGGACCCCUCUGACUUUUAAGCAACAUCUCAUCUUAGUGAGUGAGAUCUGCUGUCCUAUGACUCUGAAGGUUCUGAUUCGGCCCCUGGAGGCCUUAUAGAGAUUAUCUACAUUGUCUACUUUCAGAAACUUAAAGUCAAUUGUCAUCACUUCCCUGAGACACUGAAACCAGCCCUCUCCGUUACAAAGGUCAAAGUCAGACUGAGGCUGGGGGCUUCUGAAAGGAAGACCACAGAAGUGAAGUGCCAUUCUCAUCCCAUCAUAUCAAAGGUACCUACUAUCAACAUGACAUCACUGAUCAUGCUGACCUUCAUCUGCUAAGCUUCCUCAAAAGGUGAACACAGGGAGCAAACAGAAAUGUUUCCAAAACAGCCUUUCAAAAAUCAGAGUGACCCAGGUUGCACCAGAGUUCAAAAGUCUGAGAGGAACCACUUGCCGGCUGC